rnacentral:rRNA from 1 species
GUAUGAUGGCCACACGAGGGCUUUACUGUCUCUUACUUCCAAUCCGUGAAAUUGACCUUCCCGUGAAGAGGCGGGAAUAUGACAAUAAGACGAGAAGACCCUAUGGAGCUUUAAUUAACCGACCCAAAGAGAUCUUGAUAAUCAACCGACAGGGAUAACAUACCUCUACAUGGGCCGACAAUUUAGGUUGGGGUGACCUCGGAGAAUAAAACAACCUCCGAGUGAUUUAAAUCUAGACUAACUAGUCGAAAGUACUACAUCACUUAUUGAUCCAAAAACUUGAUCAACGGAACAAGUUACCCUAGGGAUAACAGCGCAAUCCUAUUUUAGAGUCCAUAUCGACAAUAGGGUUUACGACCUCGAUG